CGGUGGCGGUGCUGGUGGGGGUGGGGACCUCGGACAAACCGGGGCGCACCUGUCACAGCUCAUGGUACAAGUCUGAGGACACCCGGAGGGACAGGUGAAGAGGCCGUCGGAAAUGCAAUCCGGGUACGCAGGAUCCGUGCACCUCACUUUCUUGGCCGGAACCGCCUCCGCUGCGACGACGAAGAGGAGGAGGACUAGGAACAUGCCUAGCCGCGCCGUUAGUUUAGCCAUUUUUCGACCGUAUCUCAAGCGGUUAAGCUUGUUG
rnacentral:lncRNA from 1 species